rnacentral:lncRNA from 1 species
UUUUUGAUACGAGCCCCCCCCCCCAGACCCGAUCCACCUCUCUCUUUCGCUCGAUCCCCCUCUCAUCUCUACGCCCGUACGACUUCCGCCGAUCCCCUUUGUGCACGCGCGACGCCAUCCGUUCCCUAUCGUCGCCGCCGUCAUCCGUAGCCGCCUCCACCGCGUUGCUCAUUGGCCAUUAUUUCCUUUUGGUUCGUUAUCGACGGAAUCUUGCCGUCGUCUCCACCGUUUUCAAGAAGGUUUUUCUCUUUCCCUCAUUUUACCUUUGUAUCGGAUCUUGUGAGCACCCAACCUCUCUCUAUUCGUCGUUAUAUUUUAUUAUUUUGAAUACUCGUUUCUUGAUUAUUGAAAAUUAAAAUCAUUAAAAUCUGAUUUCAUAAUUCCUAAUCCCGUCAUUUGAGCCAGCAUUUUAUAUAUUGUAUCCUCUGUAUGAUCUUGUUGCUUAAUACUUCACAUACUACACAUUUAUUGGAAUGUCGCUAUGUUUCGCAAAAUGCUAAGAGAAAGCAUGUGUUGUUUGUUUUGAAAUCUUUAUCCCAUUCGAUUGUAAAUCGUAAAAUUCGUUUAUAUAGGUAUAAACCCUCUGUUUGAGCAUUAAGAUCCUCGUUUAUUAUUUAAAAUUUCCGUUCAUAUUAUCUUCUUGGAAUAUCCAAAUCCUUCAAAAAAAAAAAACUCCUUCAUUCUUUGAUCGCUAUUUGAGGUUCGUCGAAAUUAUUGUUCAAAUCCAUUUGUGCCCCAUCCCGACCUAGUUGCAUAUAAUUAUAUUAUCUUUGAUAUUCAUUUUAGUUAGCUUAUAGGAGACGCGUGUCUCUAUUUUUAGGUCCCGACGAUUGAAUUUCAGCACAUUUUCGACUGGAUAGUUCUCAUUUGAAGCUACUUAAGAGCGACCGAACACCCGUUAGUUUUUGUAAGAUAAUUAGGAAAAUAUUUUGAUUGUAUGAAAAUCUUAUUUUUGUAGAAUUUAAUUAAGGGUUAAGCAUAUUAUAAAUAUCUCUGUAAAUUGAGUUUCAAUUGUGAUUGACAAUUUGUUUAGCAAAAGAAUUUUUGAAAUCUGAUAAUUUAUUCUGCAAAUUAGUGACUGACAUAUUUUUGAAUUAUAAUGUCUCUUGGUAUUCUGCUAUGCUAAUGUUGGCCAUGUCGACAUGUACUUUGUUAUGGAAGCAAGCUUCGUCUUUGUUGCGGCCUCCGGGCUGCCUGCGCCUAUCCGCGCCUCUAUUUUGUUUGCGCCUUCGGGUGCCUGCGCCUAUCCGCGCCUUUGUUUUGUUUGCGCCUUCGGGUGCCUCUGCUUUGUUUACGCCUUCGGGUCUUUGGAUCUCGCCAACGGAUCAUAAGAUAUAGUUAAGUGCCGGAGACAAUAUUUAUUUUGUUAUAUGUCGAAAGGGAAAUCUUUGAAAUAUAUAGUUUCAAUCCGAUCCGAAUUUGAAUUUUGAUAAAUUCUUAUUUCUUAAAUUUGCAAUUAAAACCAGUCGCUUGAACUAAUGUUGUAUCCAUUUAUUGUAUGCUUAAUCCGACUAAUGUGGUGUAUGGUUGCUUACCCCAGGUACUGAGACGAUUCGCAGGGCGGGCUGGGAGCGAGUGAACGUUAGAUGUAGCUAGAUUUGAUUCUAGCCUCUUCGUCUUAUUUCUAUUGCAUUUAGAUAUGAACUUUGAACUUCGUAGAUAAUCAUCGUUUAUCUGUUCCUACUUUAUUGUUUCUUCGUACCUACAUAUCUCUUAGAACAAUUUCGGUUGUGUUGCAUCAUAAACUUUAUUUUGCUUAUAGGAUACUUCAGUUGAUUUUAGUUGCAAUUAAAUUGUUAGCCUCAUUUUCGACUAUUUGGAUUUAAUAGAAAUUUCUCUUAUGAUCAUCUUUUGUUUUGUAAUUGUCUGACUUCUGUAGCCUUGCAUAUUUUACUAAUUUAGUAGAUAUGCGGCAUCUGUUAUGCCUCGGGUUUGGGGCGUGACAGAGAAAUGGUAUCAGAGCCUAGGGUUAAGAUCUUUUUGUAACUUUAAGGUAUAGGAUUGUGAGAGUUUAUUAGGACGGUGAGGAUGGGUAAAAGUAGACGCCGUGUUUGAUCCUAUUUGAUUAUUGUUACAGUUUUCGUUAAUGUUUUCAUUUACGUGUUGUGAUAUCCUCUCUUGUUAAGAUGGUGCGUCCGACCCGCUAGCAACACCAAUAAUGAGCAACCGAGGAACCCGCCUCCAGCCAGAUCCGGAGAUGCAGAUCUAGACGUCACCUUAGCCUCACUUUUGAAUACCACGUCCUCGGAGCCGUUCCACCUAUCCAGAAUCCGCUUCAGUCAACCAUAGCGCUCCAACGAACCCUUCGGCUUUGUUCCAGCUCGUGCAGCAGACUUUUAGUAUGGGGAUACUCCGACGGCCGCCCCCAUACCUUUUCGUUCCGCGUCCACUGCACCUUCUGGUUUGUUCCACCGCCGCCACAACCUAUAUUCCCACCCACUCCGCGCAGUUUACCGCAGAGCACCACGAUGGACCCCCCUGGUGCCACCCUGAUACAAGCUGUUGUCGGACUAGUUCAGACUCAACAGCAAAAUUUACAGCAGAAUCCAGCUCUAGCCGCGGAUCAAGUUCCAGAGUUCGAGAGAGGAGCAUCAAUGAAUUUAAGAAGUCUGCUCCUCCACCUUUUUCCGGCGCUACAAAUCCGGAUGAAGCGAAAAUUGGAUCAAGGAGAUGGAAAAAGCAUUUACGGCCAUGCAGUGCACGGAUGAAGAGAAAGUCAGAUUUGGGACAUUCAUGCUUCAAGGCAGAGCGAAUAAUUGGUGGGAAAGCGAGUUGAGAACUCGCAGGUAGCAACUUAUCAGCCAUUUCGUGAGGAUUUUCGAUCGGCGUUUUAUGCUAAGCUUUCCAAUGAGUAAACUCCGCCAGCUCAGAGGCAAUUCUAGAUCUAAAGCAAGGGUCAACGUCUGUAGAGGAGUACGAGCCCGAGUUUGAUCGACUCUCUCAGUUUGCCCGAAAAUUGGUGAUGAUAACGAAUCGGGGCGGCCAAAAGGUUUGAAGAAGGACUGAAUGGAUAUAUCCGUACUGGCUUGCGCCUCUACACCUUGAGACAUACGACGAGGUUGUCUCAGGGCAAAAUCCUUAGAUUCAGUAUGGAGACAGACUCGAGAGGAGCGCAAUGCAAUCAGAAGAAGAGAAAUAGAGAUUCUUUCAGAAAGGAGAUCGGAAUGCAAGAGGGUCGGACAGAUCUAGUGAUUUGGAGAUCGCGUAAUACGCCAACUCCUCAUGGUGGACCACCAAAUCGGGAUCAGAAGUCAAAAUGCUCAGUUUGUGGAGGGCACAUAAGGAUUCGACUGCAGACAUGUGACGUGGGUUGCUUCAGAUGCGGGACUUGAACCAUCGAUAGCUCAGUGUCCUUUACUUAGCACUGACUCUAGCACUGGAUCCAAGCUCAGGAGAAAUUUGCUGCUUCAGCUAGUCGUGACGUGCCCCUCUCUACUGGUCAGCCUAGAGUGGAAGGCCUCGAACGCAGGGUCGUGUCCAGGCUCUCUCUCAGCAGGAUGCCCAGGCAUCUAAUGCCGUGGCUCGGUAUUCUGCCCGUAAAUUCUGCUUUUGCCUAUGUUCUCUUUGAUUCUGGAGCUACACAUUCUUUUGUAUCUUCUGCUUUUGUUCGAAAGUCUAUGUUACCCUCUGAACCUUGAUUAUACUUUAUGUGUUGGUACACCUUUGGGGGAGGAUUGUGAUUGACGCGAGUUUGUAGGAGCAUGGUCAGAUUGGAUAAUAGGAGCUUAUUGCAAAUCUUCAUGUUAUGGACAUGCCGACUUUGAUGUGAUUUUGGGAUGGACUGGCUUUCGUCCCACUUUGCCACUUUGAAUGUCGGGAGAAGCGGGUGGAAUUCAACAUUCUCUGGGGAGGCAAAUUUUGCUUUUCUUGGGAAUGGAGCUUACACCCCACCUCCGAUCAUUCUUCCUGCAAGCUACUCGUCUCUUAAGGAGUGCUGCGCGGUGAUUUGUGGCGCUGGUGAAAGAUCUGAAUUUAAUUACUCCGAGAUUAGAAGACAUCUCGGUAGUAAAUGAAUUUCCGGAUGUUUUUCCAGAAGACCUCCCUGGGCUAACGCCAGAUAGGGAAGAUUGAAUUUCGUGUUGAUUUAGCUCCAGAACAAAUCCAAUUCAAAGACACCUUACGGAUGUCACCAAGUUGAGCUCAGGAACUGCAAUGCACUUAAGCAACUUCUGGACAAGGGAUUCAUUAGACCGAGUGUCUCUCUUGGGGCGCUCCAGUACUUUCGUCAAGAAGAAGGAUGUACUAUGAGAUUAUGUAUCGAUUAUCGUGAGCUAAACAGAAUGACUGUGAAGAAUCGAUUUACCAAGAAUCGACGACUAUAUUGAUCAGUUCGAGGUGCAGAAGUCUUUUCCAAGAUUGAUCUACGAUCAGGAUACCAUCAGCUGAAGGUCAGAGCCGAAGAUAUACCCAAAACUGGCUUUUCGCACACGCUAUGGCAUUACGAGUUCCUAGUAAUGCUAUUGACUAACGCUCCAGCCGCUUUCAUGGAUCUGAUGAAUAGAGUAUUCAAACUUUCUUGGAUAAGUUAUUCAUAGACGACAUUCUGGUGUACUCUAGCAGUUCAGCUGAGCAUAAGAAACAUCUCAGGAUAGUUUUGAAACUCUUCGACAAAGAACUCUACGCCUAAGUUUAAAGUGUGAAUUUGGUUGCAAAGUGUUUCCUCUCUCGGACAUAUUGUGUCUAAGGAAGGUAUUUCAGUGGAUCCUUCAAAGAUAGAAGCUGUGAAAAAUUGCCACGACAAGCAACGUCACAGGUUCGAAGUUUUGUGGCUUAGCAGGAUACUAUAGAAGAUUUGUGGAGGUUUCUCCGCCUAGCUGCACCAUUGACUCAGUUGACACGAAAAGGAGUUAAAUUUCAGUGGUCGGAUAAAUGUGAACAAAGCUUUUUGGAAUUGAAGAAACGCUUAAUAUCAGACCUAUCCUUACCUUACCUAUUAGUGGUGAGGGAUUCACUAUUUACAGUGAUGCCUCGAAAAGGAUUGGGAUGCGUCCUGAUGCAGAAUGACAAAGUGAUUGCCUAUGCUUCCGACAGCUGGCCAUUCGAGGAAACUACCCGACCCAACGCCUAGAAUUGGCACAGUAAUCUUUGCACUGAAAAUUUGGAGACAUUACCUCUACGGCGAGCCUUGUGAGAUUUUUACCGACCACAAAAGUUUAAAAGUACAUCUUCACACAGAAAGAACUUAACAUGCGACAAAGAAGGUGGCUAGAACUAUUGAAGACUACGAUGUGACCAUCAAGUAUCAUCCGGGUAAGGCCAACGUCGUAGCGGAUGCCCUCAUCAGAAAAUCAAUAGGAAUAUAGCGACAUUGGUUACUUCUCAGCGACAUAUUUUAGAGGAUCUCAGACGGCUCGACAUAGAAAUUCACAUCCAUGGGUCUGAAGCUCAUCUAGCUAACCUGCAGGUUCAACCUACACUGAUUGAUAGGAUCAAGUCAGCCCAGGCGAAUGACAUUCAUCUUAGAGAGACACGACAUUUAGUGGAAUCAGGAGCACACAUCGGAGUUUAGAAUUCACGAAGAUGGCUCUUUGAGAUUUAGGAACCGUUUACGUUCCUAAGAAUCCGGAUUUAAAAACGAAAUUUUGAAGAGGCUCAUUAUUCGGGAUAUUCAGUGCACCCUGGAGGAACCAAAAUGUACAGAGAUUUGAAGAACGUCUUCUGGUGGAGUAACAUGAAAAGGGAGAUUGCAAGAUUCGGGCUAAGUGUUGCUUGCCAGCUGGUGAAAAUCGAUAAGCAGAGAUCACGCCGCUUACUUCAGCCCCUUCCUAUUCCUGAGUGGAAAUGGAGAGAAAACUAUGGAUUUGUUACUCGACUAUCUAGAAGUGAGAAGGGAAAUGACGCAAUUUGGGUCAUAGUUGAUAGAUUGACUAAGUCAGCGCACUUUCUCGCUGUAAAGACGGGUAUGACUUUGGAGAAACUAGCGGAGCUCUAUAUUGCACAAAUAGUACGUCUACAUGGUGUUCCAGUUUCGAUCGUGUCUGAUCGUGAUUCAAGGUUCGUGGCUCAUUUCUGAAAGGAUUACAUAAAGCUUUGGGAACACACUGGACUUCAGUACCCUUCCAUCCGCAGACAGAUGGCCAGUCCGAGAGACGAUUCAAAUUUUAGAAGACAUGUUACGCUCUUGCGUAAUCGAUAUGAAAGGCUCUUGGGACAUCACCUACCAUUGUUUGAGUUUGCCUACAAUAAUAGCUUCCAGGCCAGCAUUCAAAUGGCUCCCUUCGAAGCUUUGUAUUGGAAAGAAGUGCAGAUCCCUCUGUGUUGGGAUGAUGUUGGUGAAGAGAAAGCUACUUGGUCCAGAAUUGUGUGCAACAAACUAUUGAGAAGUUCAUUUUGAUUAAGGAGCAUCUCAGAGCUGCUCAGAGUCGGCAGAAGAGCUACGCUGAUAAUCGAAGACGACCGCUCGAGUUUGACGUGGAGACCGUGUCUUCUUGAAAUGUCACCUUCAAGAGGUAUUAUGCGCUUUGGAAUUCGGGGAAGCUUAGCCCUCGUUAUGUGGGCCCCUUUGAGACUGAAAGAAUUGGUGACGUAGCGUAAGACUUGCCUUACCGCCUUCUUUAGCUGGAGUGCAUAACGUCUUUCAUGUAUCUAUGUUUGAGGAAAUAUGUUCACGAUCCAAGCCACAUUGUAGAGCCGGAACCUUUGCAGCUUAGAGAAGAUCUACUUAUGACGAACAGCCAGUACGUAUGUGGACCGAAAGGAGCAAGUUUUGAGAAGACGGGACCAUUCCAUAUGUUAAAGUCCAAUGGAGCAACCAUUCCGAACGAGAAGCUACUUGGGACUUGAAGAGCAGAUGAGGAUGAAGCACCCUCAACUUUUCAGAGAGCUAAGUGUGUUAAGUUUAGAGGACUAAACUUCUUUUAGGAGGGGUGGAUGUAAACCCCACACUUUUAACUUUUGUUUUGACUCCAAUUUACUUAAGUUUGGACCUUUUUCGUAAUUUCGAUCUUCGAGGGAGUCGGUAGCUUUUUUGUCUGUAAUUAGUCCCUAAACUAAUUAGACCCCUUUUUGUGAUACGAGCCCCCCCCCCUCCAAACCGAUCCAUCUCUCUCUUUCGCUCGAUCCCCUCUCUCUCUACGCCGUACGACCUCCGCCGCCCUUUUGCACGCGCGACACCAUCCGUUCCCUAUCGUCGCCGCCGUCAUCCAUAGCCCCUCCACCGCAUUGCUCAUUGGCCAUUUUUCUUGUGUCGUUAUCGACGGAAUCGCCGCCGUAUUCAACUCAUUUUCGAGAAGGUUUUUCUCUUUCCCUCAUUUUACCUUUGUAUCGGAUCUUGUGAGCACCCAACCUCUCUCUAUUCGUCGUUAUAUUUUAUUAUUUUGAAUACUCGUUUCUUGAUUAUUGAAAAUUGAAAUCAUUAAAAUCUGAUUUCAUAAUUCCUAAUCCUCGUCAUUUGAGCAG